rnacentral:rRNA from 1 species
GAUGAACGCUAGCGGGAGGCUUAACACAUGCAAGUCGAGGGGCAUCACGGGGUAGCAAUACUCUGGUGGCGACCGGCGCACGGGUGAGUAACGCGUAUGUAACCUACCCUGUACAGGGGGAUAGCCCGGAGAAAUUCGGAUUAAUACCCCAUAAUAAUAUUGGAAGGCAUCUUUUGAUAUUUAAAGUUACGGCGGUACAGGAUGGGCAUGCGUGACAUUAGCUAGUUGGUAGGGUAACGGCCUACCAAGGCUACGAUGUCUAGGGGUCCUGAGAGGGUGAUCCCCCACACUGGUACUGAGACACGGACCAGACUCCUACGGGAGGCAGCAGUGAGGAAUAUUGGUCAAUGGACGGAAGUCUGAACCAGCCAUCCCGCGUGCAGGAAGAAGGCGCUAUGCGUUGUAAACUGCUUUUCCAGGGGAAGAAAUUUUCGCACGUGUGCGGAAUUGACGGUACCCUGGGAAUAAGCAUCGGCUAACUCCGUGCCAGCCGCCGCCGUAAAAC